ensembl:misc_RNA Metazoa_SRP Metazoan signal recognition particle RNA
GCCGGGCAUGGUGGCGCAUGCUUGUAAUCCCAGCUACUUGGGAGGCUGAGGCAGGAGAAUCACUUGAACCUGGGAGGCGGAGGUCAUGGUGAGCCGAGAUUGCACCAUUGUACUCCAGCCCAGGUGACAGAGGGAGACUCUGUCUCAA